AUACGGAGGAUGCAAGCGUUAUCCGGAUUUAUUGGGUUUAAAGGGUGCGUAGGCGGUUUGCUAAGCGGGAGGUGAAAUGCUGGGGCUCAACGGCGGAAGUGCCUCCCGAACUGGUGGACUUGAAUGACUCUGCCGUGGGAGGAAUGUGGAGGGUAGCGGUGAAAUGCUUAGAGAUUACACAGAACACCGAUUGCGAAGGCAUCUCACGAAGGGUUGAUUGACGCUGAGGCACGAAAGCGUGGGGAUCAAACAGGAUUAGAUACCCUGGUAGUCCACGCAGUAAACGAUGAUGGCUAACCGCUGGGCUUAUCAGUUCAGUGGCCAAGCGAAAGCGAUAAGCCAUCCACCUGGGGAGUACGACCGCAAGGUUGAAACUCAAAUGAAUUGGCGGGG
rnacentral:rRNA from 1 species